GAUGAAGAACGUAGUGAAAUGCGAUAAGUAAUGUGAAUUGCAGAAUUCAGUGAAUCAUCGAAUCUUUGAACGCACCUUGCGCCCUUUGGCUAUUCCGAAGGGCAUGCCUGUUUGAGUAUCAUGAACACCUCAACUCUCAUGGUUUGCCAUGAUGAGCUUGGACUCUGGAGGUCUUGCUGGCCUAUGGUCAGCUCCUCUCAAAUAAAUCAGCUUGCCAGUGUUUGGUGGCAUCACAGGUGUGAUAACUAUCUACGCUUGUGGUUUUCCAUCAGGUAACCUUCAGUGAUGGAGGUUCGCUGGAGCUCAUAAAUGUCCCUCCUCAGCGAGGACAGCUUUUUGAACAUUUGAUCUCAAAUCAGGUAGGACUACCCGCUGAACUUAAGCAUAUAAUAAGCGGAGGA
rnacentral:misc_RNA from 1 species